rnacentral:lncRNA from 1 species
UGACAAUGGAAGGGAGGGAAGCCAGGGUUUGAACAGCAGCAACAGUUACAGAGAUACCUUAAGAUAUGAUCCCUUCAGAACAAUAGCUUGGAGAUCACCGUCAUCAAAAUAUCCACUUGCCCAAAUCUGUAGUCCCCAGGCCCCUGGAGCAAGGCCUGCUGCCCUGGGUGUCUUGGCAGUUGUUCAAGCACGACUGGAAUCUGGCUUAGCAUUAGGCCAAGUGAGCACAGAGACUUGCACUGCUGCAUAUUUAAAAUUACUUGUCAGGAAAAGGAGCUACAGAGAAGAGGGGCUGUGACAGGGGAAGGCAAACAUCCGCACCGUUCAAUAAUUCAGCGCAGAGCCGGUCUUGGCUGCUAAGUUACCACCACAAGGAGCAUUUUUAAAGUCAAACCGAAUUUCCAUGAGAAGUCAUGCCUGAGCAAGCUGGAUCGUUGCCAAAAGACAAGAGAAGACUCCAGACCUUUCUGUAAACAGGCCCUGAGAGAUACGGGGUACUGCAUGAUAAAGCUGUCAGUCUGGUCGCAGCAGCCUGGCAUGUGACUCAUUUGCAUAUGUCACUUCCUUUAGCGUAAUCCAGUCCAUGGGCCUCUAACUUCCAAUCCUGUGGGCAAAUAAAGCUGUCCAGCACAACCUGUGACGAUCAGAUUCAGGCUGUAUUUAGUGGGGGAGGGAUCUGGCCUCAUAUCCUUCAUCUUUAUGCUGCUCCACUCCAGCUCACAGCCCCUCCAACUGGAUGGAGCUCUUCGAAGGGAGGGGCAUUUCAGAGGAGGGUCUCAGGGAUAGCCCCUUUGUGGGGCUGGGCCACCAGGUUGGGGAGAGUGGAGCUGCUGGAACUCUGGAGGGACUGGCUGAGCCAGCUUUCCCAGUGCACCCCUCUGGGAGGGCAGGCUCUCGGUGUAGGCUGCCCAUCUCCUCGCUCUCCUCUGGCACUGCUCCUAUGCCCCCUUGGUUAGCCUGGGAGCCCAUACUACCCAGACUUGGGGUCAAUAAGCAGAGGACCUGUAAGGAGUCCUUGAUGGGAUGUACAGCACUGCCCAACCCUGCACAAGGUAGGGUAUUGCUGUUUGUUGUGUGGUGAGCUGCCUGCUUAUGGCUGGGUUUGGGCCUCCAUCCAUUUUUAUUUUCUUUGAGUUGGUCUCUGGGCAAAGCUUCUCCCAGCAGGCGGAAUCUGGCCUGGGGGCUCCAGCUUCUCUCACCUGCCUGGCCUCCCAAGAGCUAGAGAGCUCCACAUCUCAACUCAUCUAUAACUCAUUAGCAGAACCAUCAGCUAGCAGAAACUAGGAAUAAUAAAAAUGUGCCGUAUUUUCACAAGCUGGAUGCCAGGCUUGGUGGUCAGGACACAGACUGCUUUCAGCUCCCACAUGCCCCUCCUGCUAGCUGCUUUGUGCAGAGUAGUGGCUACAUGGCUGCAGGUGAGAGCCCUGCCUGUGAACAGGCCACCAGGAUGCUGGGACAUACGAGUUGAUAACCCAUGGGCUCCUGAGAGCAGAGAUUGUGACUUACUCAUCUUUGAUGUAGCCAAGUUCUAACAAACCUAAAUGUGCAGCCAUUUGUAAGAGAGGAUCAUGGAAUGAAUACGGGCAUUGAGUCAAGCAGUCUGUGUUCCACUGGCGGUGUGACCUGGGGCAGGCCAUUUCACCUCACUGAGCCUUAGUUUCCUCACCUGUAAAAUGUGAAAAAUAUCACCUUCCUUACCAGGCUUUUCUGAGGAUUUAAUGACAUCAUGUUCAGUGCCCAGUAUGGGUGGAUAAUACCCAGGAGUUUCCUCCUCUUCUCCUCCUAAGUUGACUUGAUGCCCCCCGCUGAAGAUCAUGGCUGAACUGGCUCAAUUCGGAUCCAGGACUCCUGGCUUUGUCUCUUCCCUAGUUGCCCACCACACCCAUGGACACCCUUAGGUAGUUUAUCCUUUUGGGACAACUGGAUUUAUUAGAAAAGGGUAUUCUGGGGUGGAAUAAGGCCCUUUUCAGUCCCCAUGGAGCCUUUUUGGAAGAUGAAGUUCUCAAACCCACAAGAGAAUUCAUAAGACGAGCACACCACCCACAGUUAGGUUUCCCUCUCAAGUGCUUUAUCUCCACGUGGGGCAAAUAGCUCUUUGUCUGCAUAUGUUAUUGGAGCUUUUGGAGUCCAGCCUUCAGAAGAGCUCUAAUUUUUGGAUUCAUAUCAGUUUAUUAGAGAAGCCUAGUUCUAAGGAUUAGCAAAUGGGUAGGUGCUCAGCCAGCCCAGAACAAGCAGAGCCAUGACAGAAGUUUCUGGAAUCUCACAGAGUCGGUGUCUUCAUGGACUCAGGGGGCCUAAAUCCAAUAGCCUGGAUUUGUCACUUUCCCUUAUUCCCUUAUCAAACUCUUCCCUUUUGGACAUCAGAGAAGGAAAGUACUUCCUGUAAGGGGGCAAUUUGCAAAGCUUCAUGGAAGUGGCAUUUGAGUGUGGCCUUAAAGGAUGUGUAGGAUUGGGAACCAUAGAUAUUUAGAGGAAGGCAUUCCUGGCAGAAGGAACAGCAGCAAAACACAGAAGUGGAAAUUAGUAGCAGCAUUAAUGGAGAAUAAUUUGGGGAAUAAGAUAUACAAAUGGAAUAAUAAAAAUAGCAUUAAUUAAACAUUGUGGGAGUCAUUCUGUAAGAUGGCCCCUGGUGAUCUCCGCCUCCUGUUCUUCAUGCCUUAUGUAACCGCUCUCCUUGAGUGUGGUCUGGAAUUACUGACUCACUUUCAAUGCACAGAAUGUAUCAGAAGUAAUGGGAUAUUCCUUCUGAGAAUAGAUUAUAAAAAAAGAGUGUGGCUUCCUUCCUGGCAUUUUCGCUUGCUCUCUCUUUAAUUGUGUGCUCCAAACAAAGCCAGCUGCCAUGUUGUGAGGAAGCCCUGUGUGGAGGACCACAUGGUGAGGA